GGAGUAUUUUCGGACGCGGGUUCGACUCCCGCCGCCUCCACCA
rnacentral:sRNA from 1 species